rnacentral:rRNA from 1 species
ACUUUUUGGUUUUGUAAUUGGAAUGAGUUAAGUAUAAACCCCUUUACAAGUAUCAAUUGGAGGGCAAGUCUGGUGCCAGCAGCCGCGGUAAUUCCAGCUCCAAUAGCGUAUAUUAAAGUUGUUGCAGUUAAAAAGCUCGUAGUUGGAUUUCUGUUAAUAAUUUAUAUAAAAUAUUUUGAAUAUUUAUAUAACAUUAACAUAAUUCAUAUUACUAUAUUUUUUAGUAUAUGAAAUUUUACCUUGA